rnacentral:rRNA from 1 species
AUUGAACGCUGGCGGCAGGCCUAACACAUGCAAGUCGAACGAGUGGCGGACGGGUGAGUAAUGUCUGGGAAACUGCCUGAUGGAGGGGGUUAACUACUGGAAACGGUAGCUAAUACCGCAUACCAUCGGAUGUGCCCAGAUGGGAUUAGCUAGUAGGUGGGGUAAAGGCUCACCUAGGCGACGAUCCCUAGCUGGUCUGAGAGGAUGACCGGCCACACUGGAACUGAGACACGGUCCAGACUCCUACGGGAGGCAGCAGUGGGGAAUAUUGCGCAAUGGGCGCAAGCCUGAUGGAGCAAUGCCGCGUGUGUGAAGAAGGCCUUCGGGUUGUAAAGUACUGUCAGCGGGGAGGCGUUACCCGCAGAAGAAGCACCGGCUAACUCCGUGCCAGCAGCCGCGGUAAUUC